ACCUACGCAAAGUAUGUGUCACGCGGAGGAAGUACCUACCUAUUUAUACUGUUGAAUGAAUACGAAUACUACGAGUUGAAUUGUGGUCGCGAAUGUUCACACACUAUUGAUAACAGAGCGAAUAAUUUUUCGUACCUACACGAAAUAUUUCAUUCAUGCAAAAAUUCGAAUUUUUAACAUCGGUAUUUUAAUUUCACUUUUUAUUACUAAAAUUUUAAAAUCGUAAAAUGGCCCAACAAAAUUUAACAUUGAAGAUAUUUUUUCUUCUGAUGCUCGUUACUGUAUUUAUGAUGGAACCUUGUGAUUCGUCUUGCAACGACGCUCCUCUCGAUAGACCUGAAAACUGCACGACGUGGUGUAAUUCGUCUUGUAUUUCUGAUGUAAUAAAAUGUUUUUUCAAAUGUUAGAAAGGUCGUAUGAUAAUUUUCAUCUUAGGUUGAUAUUUGCUCAAUUGUUAGAUGAAAUUACAGCGAAGCUGUAAAAAAAGAUGAGUAAGACUGAUUGCAAAAAUUGAAGCAUUUUUUUUAAAUUUACCUACAUUAGAUUAAGAUUUUAAACAUAGGUAGGUAAGUGAGUUUAGAUACCUACGUGAUACUUACAUGUGUAUUUAUGAUAAUUUGUUUCGAGUACUUUUGUAUUUGUAUUAUUACUGUACCUACCUAUAUUGAUAAGGCAAUGGUACUCAAUACCUACUCAUUCUUCAUUUGACCAAAUUUUGCGAGUUCAUACAUACUCAUAAGUAGAAUUGUUAACUUUUAGGUAGCUAUCAUUUUUACAUCGUAAAUAAAUCAGUAUUAUUUUGCAGAAAUAUUUUUUUUCCCUUAGUGUGAAUUGAGGUGAGAUUGCACACUUCGUUUUUCAACACCUGAGUGAUUCUCGAGGCUGGCUUAUAGUAUAACUGGCAAAACAAACCGUUUAAUUUUCGCUGCAAAUUUGUUAAUUGCACAAAAUCUGCUGCCAAAAAUCGAAUUUACGAAUAAAAAAUUUGAAAGUUGGUUAAACGUUUGUCAAAAUUUUUCUCUUAUCAGAUGGUGCAGAAAAUUUUUCAAUUUACAUACCUUCAUCGAACCAAUUUCGAGAUAUUCAAAUGGGGUGAAAUUGCACAGUAAUUUCAAAGCUUUCUUGUGUUUUUUUCUCAAAGUAUGGUAAGUAAUUUUUUUUUCGUGCACUUUAAUGAAUUUAGAUUAUAAUAAUUUAAAAAUGUUUUUUCGGUACCUACCAUAGUUCGCAGUAGCAAAAUACUCUUAAUAGAGUUUUAGAGCCUCCUCAUGAAAAAAUGACUGGAUCGUAGCCAGAUUAGAUCUGAUCAUAUCUGAACAUUUUUCGGAUCUAAAUAGAUCCGUCUAGAUCAGAUUGGAUAUUUAGAUAUCUGUUUAAGACCUGAUGAGAACCAAUCAUCUUUCCUUAUGCUACCAUCACAGUUCAACCGUUUUCGAAGGCAGCGGUGUAUCCAAAAUAAAAUUACGAAGCUGGCUUAUCCGACUUUCCUCAAAAUCUUCCAUAAUUUCACAUUAUUGGAUAACAGUCCACUUUGAGCACCAAUGGAAAAAAUACAGGAUUUUCACACUUUCGCCUCAUUUUUGGAUAUUUUUAGACAAAUGCAACAACAUUUGACAGCGAAUAUUCUCGCCAUAAAUUUCAGCUUUCUGGAUAUGGUUUUGAAAUUUUGAAAAUAGCCUUCUUUCACUGAAAUAAGUUUUAUUCUUUGUACUCCCCAAACCCAACGUUGUGCCAAUUUUUAAUAUUUUUCAGUCUAAAAUUUGAAAUUUUUAAUGGAAAAUCCACUUAAAAAAUAGACCAAUGUUAAUUGUAUAUCAAGCCAGUGGAAAACAGUGAUUGGCGACCUGAUUAGAGACUUGAUCAGUAAGAGAUAGGAAAAUUCAAUUUUCAUCAACCACUUUAUCAAAUUAACACGAAAUCUGAUUGUUACAUAAACCUAUCCUAAAAAAAGGAAAAAAAUUAACGAAAUUUUGCGAAUUUCGUCUUCUAUCCGUUCGAAUUUUUUUCUCUUCAUUUUCACUUCGUCUCUCAUCGUCUAUCUCGCAUAUACGUAAGUAGGUAGAGGCACGUACCUGCUCGCUUCCACUUUCACCAAUCUUCUUUAAACUGGUCAAAUUUUACCAACCCUCCUCCCAGUUUUCUGCUCCCUACCACAUUUUUGUAAUUUUUUUUCGUUGGAUAACAACAUACAUCAUUAUUUCUCCAAGUAUUACAUUGUAUUCGUGUUUCGUGUUUACUCGGAGAAAAUAAAUUAAUUUGAAAAGCGUUCGAUGAGAUCCGUGAUUUAAUUUAAGUACCUACACCUACGUAGGAUGACCUACCUACAUACGUUGUAACUAAACAUGUGCUUUAAAUUUAUAUCUAUUAAUGUGUUUGUGCCCGUUAUUUUGAUGAUCACAUCAUGUAAUUUACAUUAAUAUUAUCAAGUCAUUUCGUAUCUUUAGCAGUGUAAACAAUAAUAUUUGUAGGUAAGAACUAAGAACCAUCAUUAUAGGUACCUACCUACCUACCGGUAGUUUAAAUCACGCAAAUAAAUACUCGUACCUAUUUAACCACUUAACUGCAUUGCCAUGGAUCAUUUUUGAGUAGUGAACAUCCAUUUUCUAUACUUGUGCCCAUAGAAUCGUUUCGUGUCUUCAUUUCCCCCUAAAAAGAGCGAAAAAUCCCGUUGAUAAGCUAAAAAUUCGCGUUUUCUGUACAAGAUACCAGUAAAUUUUUGAACCCACAGACCAAGGGGAAGAGGGUCCCAAAAUAUACCACCAGCCAAAAUUUCAGAUGCUGGAAUUCAUUUUUAUAUUUUUGGCGAAUUUUUCAAAAAUUCAAAUUUGAUUCCAAAAUUAGAAAAAAAUCAAAAUGUCAACAAAUGAACCCAGAACGCUGAAAUUUGGUUUAUACGCUAUUUUUGCCUACCGAGUCGAUUGAUGAUAGUUUCAAACCGUUCUGGAGCCUCCAGCAGAUUUUCCGUUUCUCCAGUUUUUGAAAAAACGCUGUAGUUGGAGUAAUAUUUUUUUGUGUCAGCUCAAACCCAAAAUUUUCUCCAGUGAUAAGUAUAAUUUUUUUUUUAAUGUAAAAGUCGUCUUUCGCGAAUUAGAAAACAAAAAAAUCUGAAAUAAUUUGAUUUGUACCCUAUUUUUGACCUGCCGAGCUGAUUGGUGAUUGGAAUUUGGAUUCUUAAUUAUUUUAUCGCGAAUUUUCGUACGUGUGAAAUUCCAUUUGUUUUCUUCUUCGUACUACAUGUAUGUAUAAGCGUGACUGUCAAUUCGAUCAAUGAGAAUUGAGAAUCGAUAAGUCGUGCUUCAUAAUACCUAUAUACUAGGAAUAAAUAGUACCUACCUACAGGUGAUCAUUAUUUCAUUUCUGAUUCGUACCUAGGUAUGGUAUUCAAGAUGUCCAACUCAUUCGUAUUCAUAUUAUAGCUUGAUAAAUUACCUCCAGCUCAACGGUUAGUAAUUUUCUAUAAAGAUUAAACAACAAAUACCACAGGUAGGUACGGCUUCAUUUUUGAGAUUGGGUGAGGCUUUAAAGAUUUCGCACUAAACGAGUCAUUAAUCUAUCACACAAUUCUUGGAUUUGUACGCAUAUUUUAUGUGCAAUUGCGAGUCAGUUGAAUACCUACAUUGUUAUUAUUACAUAUACGAAGCCCUGGACGCGUCACAGCUUUAUUAUUGAGGUUAAACGAUUGUAAUUGGGAACAUGCAAUCAUCUCACUUAAUGCCAAAAAGUCUUUUGAAUGAUUCAUCUGCAGUUCUGCACACCUUAUUCGCCAUGGCAGUUAUAAUGAAAAAAAAUUUUCCGGGAAAUUCUACAAUGUGACCAAAAAAUUUGUUCCCGGAGAUCCUGUUGCUGUUGAGAAGAAAAACUGAAAACAUUCCAUAUUUAUACGUAGAUGAAGGUACACUUACCUACAUCAUUAGUUUCUACAUAUUUAUUUAUAGUACCUACAUACAUUUUUUGUCUAUCCUCAUCCUCAAUAUUA